ACUUUCAACAACGGAUCUCUUGGUUCUGGCAUCGAUGAAGAACGCAGCGAAAUGCGAUAAGUAAUGUGAAUUGCAGAAUUCAGUGAAUCAUCGAAUCUUUGAACGCACAUUGCGCCCCUUGGUAUUCCGGGGGGCAUGCCUGUUCGA
rnacentral:rRNA from 1 species